CAGCCAUAGUGCGUUGAAUACGUUCUCGGGCCUUGUACACACCGCCCGUCACGUCAUGGGAGCUGGUAACACCUGAAGCCGGUAGCCUAACCGCAAGGAGGGCGCUGUCGAAGGUGGUGCUGGUGACUGGGACGAAGUCGUAACAAGGUAGGAGUACCGGAAGGUGCGCCUGGAUCACCUCCUUUCUAGA
rnacentral:rRNA from 1 species